rnacentral:rRNA from 1 species
AGUAUAUAGUUAUAUUCUUGAAACCCAAAGAGUUUGGCGGUAUCUCAGUCUAGUUAGAGGAGCUUGUUCGGUAAUCGAUAAUCCGCGAAAAAUCUUACGUACUUUUGUAAUCAGUUUAUAUACCGUCGUUAUUAGAUAAUAUUAAAAAGUAAACAAUUGUCUAAAUAUAUUUAAACAUAAUAUAUCAGAUCAAGGUGUAGCUUAUAAGUGCGAGUUGAAUGAGCUACAAUUUAAUUUAUAAAAAUGGAUGUUGUUUUUAAAUAACCAACUAAAGGUGGAUUUAAUAGUAA